UCACCAUAUGUUUAGUCCUGCUGGAGCUGGGGAUGUUUUGCCUACUAAUGCAUGUACCCCAUGAGUGAUUUUUUUCCAGCAUUUGCAAUGCCAGCAUUUUGAGGUGUCCCUGAAAAUAAAACUGAUUAAAAUCAUAGCAAAAACAUUCUACCUUCAACUUUGCCAUUUUAAUUGUGUUUUCCUAGAGGCAAGGAAAUGCACAAAGUCUUUCUCAGGCAGAAAAUUUCCUCCUUUCCACAUUCUCUAUUUCUGUCUUUUAGACCGAGAUCAGUGAAGAUGACAUCGAACCCAACUUUAAAAGGCUUUUUGGACAGCUAGCAGGAAGUGAUGCAGAGAUCUCAGCCUUUGAACUGCGCAGCAUCUUGAAUAAAAUCAUGGCUAAACGCCAAGAUAUUAAAUCAGAUGGCUUUAGUGUUGAGACAUGCAAAAUAAUGGUUGACCUGUUAGAUGUAUCCUUUAAGGCCGUUCCUAGGUGAUGUUCCUCUGCCUGUGCUGAAGUAGGUGAGCUGCCUUUGCUGCCUGGUGGGUCCGUCCUUAUGUAGUAAUGACACCUGAGGCGAAGAAGCUGGUUUUACCCUGGUUCCCCUGAAAAAGCAGGCCCUUGCUAUCACUGCUCACCAUGACACAUGCAUUCUCCCAGGCAGCAGGGAAAAUCCAUUAUCAGAUGUUACGAUCUGCUUUGAAACCUUCCCAGCUGUUGUGUGUUCUGGUUUAGCUGGGGACAAAGUGGUGUUUGUGCUGGGAAAAGGCAGCUGGCUCUCAGCAUGGAGUGGAUGGCCUUGGCUGUAGAGUUGUACGUGCAUAUCUUGGGUGCACUUCACCUCUCUGUUAUCUGGCUGGAGUUGUAAGAGCAUCAUAAAGCCAUGAGGACCUAGCAAAUGGAAAAUGAGGGAAACAAAUACAGGAAGCUGGGAGU